GCUUAACACAUGCAAGUCGAGGGGCAGCAUUUCAGUUUGCUUGCAAACUGGAGAUGGCGACCGGCGCACGGGUGAGUAACACGUAUCCAACCUGCCGAUAACUCGGGGAUAGCCUUUCGAAAGAAAGAUUAAUACCCGAUGGCAUAAUUAGACCGCAUGGUCUUAUUAUUAAAGAAUUUCGGUUAUCGAUGGGGAUGCGUUCCAUUAGGCAGUUGGUGAGGUAACGGCUCACCAAACCUUCGAUGGAUAGGGGUUCUGAGAGGAAGGUCCCCCACAUUGGAACUGAGACACGGUCCAAACUCCUACGGGAGGCAGCAGUGAGGAAUAUUGGUCAAUGGGCGCAGGCCUGAACCAGCCAAGUAGCGUGAAGGAUGACUGCCCUAUGGGUUGUAAACUUCUUUUAUAUGGGAAUAAAGUUUUCCACGUGUGGAAUUUUGUAUGUACCAUAUGAAUAAGGAUCGGCUAACUCCGUGCCAGCAGCCGCGGUAAUACGGAGGAUCCGAGCGUUAUCCGGAUUUAUUGGGUUUAAAGGGAGCGUAGGUGGACAGUUAAGUCAGUUGUGAAAGUUUGCGGCUCAACCGUAAAGUUGCAGUUGAUACUGGCUGUCUUGAGUACAGUAGAGGUGGGCGGAAUUCGUGGUGUAGCGGUGAAAUGCUUAGAUAUCACGAAGAACUCCGAUUGCGAAGGCAGCUCACUGGACUGCAACUGACACUGAUGCUCGAAAGUGUGGGUAUCAAACAGGAUUAGAUACCCUGGUAGUCCACACAGUAAACGAUGAAUACUCGCUGUUUGCGAUAUACAGUAAGCGGCCAAGCGAAAGCAUUAAGUAUUCCACCUGGGGAGUACGCCGGCAACGGUGAAACUCAAAGGAAUUGACGGGGGCCCGCGCAAGCGGAGGAACAUGUGGUUUAAUUCGAUGAUACGCGAGGAACCUUACCCGGGCUUAAAUUGCAUUUGAAUAUAUUGGAAACAGUAUAGCCGUAAGGCAAAUGUGAAGGUGCUGCAUGGUUGUCGUCAGCUCGUGCCGUGAGGUGUCGGCUUAAGUGCCAUAACGAGCGCAACCCUUAUCUUUAGUUACUAACAGGUCAUGCUGAGGACUCUAGAGAGACUGCCGUCGUAAGAUGUGAGGAAGGUGGGGAUGACGUCAAAUCAGCACGGCCCUUACGUCCGGGGCUACACACGUGUUACAAUGGGGGGUACAGAAGGCAGCUACCUGGUGACAGGAUGCUAAUCCCAAAAGCCUCUCUCAGUUCGGAUCGAAGUCUGCAACCCGACUUCGUGAAGCUGGAUUCGCUAGUAAUCGCGCAUCAGCCAUGGCGCGGUGAAUACGUUCCCGGGCCUUGUACACACCGCCCGUCAAGCCAUGAAAGCCGGGGGUACCUGAAGUACGUAACCGCAAGGAGCGUCCUAGGGUAAAACUGGUAAUUGGGGCUAAGUCG
rnacentral:rRNA from 1 species